GUUUUCUCAUGGCAUGCUCAUGCAGUUGAUAAUGAAAUGCCGAGUUUUUUAUAACUAGGUUGUCGGCAGGAAUCCAGCUCAGGUUACGAGUGACCGACAGUUGCUACCAUCUACUGGCUGUUUGCAAUCCUGUGUGAAACAACAGGGCAUUGAGACUCCUUCCUGGUCCUGUCGGCCCACGUUGUGGACAAAUGGCUUCUGUCUGGCUGGCAAUCUGACCAAAAGCUUGUUGGGAUUGGCACCCGACAAGGGGGGUAACAUUUUCACAAGUCCUUUGAGCGGGUCUUUGGCUCCUGUAUUGUGCUUUCUUGUUUCUCACUGCUCAUGUGUGCAGACCCAUCUGCCUCAUGGUGAUGGCAGCAGGGCUGGAGGAGGUGAUGAGGACCUCUGGGCAGGGCUGUGCAGAAGACAUCUGUGGCUGCUAGUGAUGAAAGGAGGAUGUGGAAAGAAGGAGAGGUCUGUGUAG
rnacentral:lncRNA from 1 species